rnacentral:hammerhead_ribozyme from 1 species
AUCCAGUUGAUGAGUCACAAAUAGGACGAAACCCGCGUCAAACUGGAU